UACGUAGGGUGCAAGCGUUGUCCGGAAUUAUUGGGCGUAAAGAGCUCGUAGGCGGUUCGUCGCGUCGGCUGUGAAAACCCGGAGCUCAACUCCGGGCCUGCAGUCGAUACGGGCGGACUCGAGUUCGGCAGGGGAGACUGGAAUUCCUGGUGUAGCGGUGAAAUGCGCAGAUAUCAGGAGGAACACCGGUGGCGAAGGCGGGUCUCUGGGCCGAUACUGACGCUGAGGAGCGAAAGCCAGGGGAGCAAACGGG
rnacentral:rRNA from 1 species